rnacentral:rRNA from 1 species
GGGAAAUCUUACCGGGUCCGGACACACUGAGGAUUGACAGGUGUUUCGUAAAGUAAGGUUGUUUUAUAUUUUUUUUUACUAUUUAUUUAGUGGGGGAAUUUUAUAAGAUAGCUUUUUCAUUUACAUUUCAAAUAUGCUAGUCCUUUCAUGAUUGUGUGAUAGGUGGUGCAUGGCCGUUCUUAGUUCGUGGAGUGAUCUGUCUGCUUAAUUGCGUUUCACUUAUGGCGUGACUGUGUUAUUAUGGUUCUUUCGUGACCUCAUUUUUCAUUCAUUUGGAAUUUGACGCGUCCGGUUCUAUGUGCACAUCAUAGCCACGAAGGCAACGA